UGGGGAAUUUUGGACAAUGGGGGCAACCCUGAUCCAGCAAUGCCGCGUGUGUGAAGAAGGCCUUCGGGUUGUAAAGCACUUUUGUCCGGAAAGAAAACCGCUUCUCUAAUACAGAGGUGGGAUGACGGUACCGGAAGAAUAAGCACCGGCUAACUACGUGCCAGCAGCCGCGGUAAUACGUAGGGUGCGAGCGUUAAUCGGAAUUACUGGGCGUAAAGCGUGCGCAGGCGGUUCGCUAAGACCGAUGUGAAAUCCCCGGGCUUAACCUGGGAACUGCAUUUGUGACUGGCGGGCUAGAGUAUGGCAGAGGGGGGUAGAAUUCCACGUGUAGCAGUGAAAUGCGUAGAGAUGUGGAGGAAUACCGAUGGCGAAGGCAGCCCCCUGGGCCAAUACUGACGCUCAUGCACGAAAGCGUGGGGAGCAAACA
rnacentral:rRNA from 1 species